rnacentral:rRNA from 1 species
CCGGCACGGGUGAGUAACACGUAUCCAACCUGCCGUCUACUCUUGGACAGCCUUCUGAAAGGAAGAUUAAUACAAGAUGGCAUCAUGAGUUCACAUGUUCACAUGAUUAAAGGUAUUCCGGUAGACGAUGGGGAUGCGUUCCAUUAGAUAGUAGGCGGGGUAACGGCCCACCUAGUCUUCGAUGGAUAGGGGUUCUGAGAGGAAGGUCCCCCACAUCGGAACUGAGACACGGUCCAA